UACAGAGGUCUCAAGCGUUGUUCGGAUUCAUUGGGCGUAAAGGGUGUGUAGGUGGCGCCGUAAGUCGGGUGUGAAAUCCCGGGGCUCAACCCCGGAACUGCAUCCGAUACUGCCAUGCUAGAGGAUUGGAGAGGUAGCUGGAAUUCUUGGUGUAGCAGUGAAAUGCGUAGAGAUCAAGAGGAACACUCGUGGCGAAAGCGAGCUACUGGACAAUUCCUGACGCUGAGGCUCGAAGGCUAGGGUAGCGAAAGGG
rnacentral:rRNA from 1 species